ACAAAAAUUCAGCCCGGGCAUUUUGACUGGAGACCGGCCCAUCACCUGUUUUUUUUGGAAAAGACAUUAAGCCUUACGCUGUUUCUGACACACACCUACGUACACUUUCUUAUUGGUAGUAUUUAUGUAUCAAUCUAAUAAACGUAAACCUACACCAUCCUUCCUAUCCUGGUAUUCUAAAAAGUAGGGUUGGGGGUAACUGAUUAUUUUUAAAAUGAUUAUUCUGACGAUUAUUUUAUCGAAUAGUCGACUAUUCUAAUGACUAUUUAGAUAAUUAAUCUAGCGAUUACUUUUCUAUUGCACAAUUACUAAAAACCAAAAAAUUCUCAAAUAAAUUCCUCCAAAAAAUUGAUAAGUUGUUACUGUAAGAGAAUAAACACUACAGGCCUUCCAUUUUGUAUAACACUGCUUUUAUUGUGUUGCGGUUGUUUAUGUUCUGGUGACGUGUAGAACUUGGGAGUGCAGGCUGCUGCCUGAGAGGUGGUUGGAGACGGAGUGUCUCCAUGCUGCUUUGUUUUGGUCACUUAUGUGCGUGAGGCAAGUGGUGUUACGACCCUUCCUGGGGAGUCACGUGUUUCUCCUAUUUUAACUGUAAAUCCUUCUAGCUGUUAUAACAAGAAACAGAUAUUCGGACGGAAUAUUUUCAUGUUUAUUCGAAUAUGAUUGUGGAACACACCCAGCAUCAUAAUAAAUGAAGUAAUGUUUAUGCCAAUUUAAGCCUUUAUGGGUGACCAGGACUCUGUGUUUAUGAAUGUGGAAGACACCCAGCAUCCUGUGAUGGCACUAAUAACAUCAAGAGAUAAUAAAUAAAGUAAUAUUUAGGUAAAUGUAACCCUUUACACGUGACCAGGACACUGUAAUCAAUUUUUGGCAAGGGAAAUUAUUUUCUUUUUUUUUUCUUUUUUUCUGUGCCAUUUUUGGGGUGUUUAUGAUGAUACAGUAGGCAGUAUGAGUACAGUAACAUCAACAGAUAAAACAUAAAACCCUUAUUUGGUCAAUUUUAGCCUCCAUGAAAAUCUUAGCAAUUCAAUCACUUUUUGGCAAGUAAAAUGCCAUUUUAGUUGUCUACAAUUAAAUCAUCAAUAAAGAAUUUAAAGAUAUUUUGAGGCAUUUCUUAUAGGUAAACGGGAGGGUGUAGUCUAUUUGGCAAGUGACAAUCUUAAUUUUAUGUGCUGAAGUGCUUUUAUCUUGUUACUUUUAAAUAGAGCAACGUAAUGUAUAGAUAGUAACCUACACAGUGUCAUUAAAGCCAAAGCUUGAUCAUUUUAAAUACUUUUUUUCAAGUAAAAAUGUGCCCCAAACUAGUUAACUGUGGCUCCAUGUCAAGUGGACUAAAGAAAGGAAGGGGAAAAAAAUUAAAUCGCUGGAGAAUUGUUUAUUUCCAUUUAUACAACGUUUACAUUCAAUACAGGGUGCCAUUUUACAUUGUUUAUUUAUUUUUUUAGUAUCAAGGCUGUAACAUAAAGAAAGCCAGUUCUUAUCACAAAGUUUGUGGCACAAACCAUCUUUCAAUCGCAAAUAUUGCAAAAAGGAUUAAUAUAUCCUCAUUGUGAACGUUUAAGACAAAUAGCAACACUUAAAACAACUUCCGAACUGGAAAAACUAAUGUGGCAAGGUGCAGAAACGAGUGCCGGGCGGGAUUCGAUCCCCAGACUCCCGAGUGAGAGUCAUACGCUCUAACCAGUCAGCCAAAGGAAGCAUCUCCUUAACCAAGCAGCCAGGGCACAUCAUCAAUCGGGACAUUGUGGAUGCUCACACUGCCACAUCUUCCUCCCUCUUUCCACAAGCACGUCCUCGUGCUCCCGCGCAGGGUGCCACAAACACUGCCACACUAAUAUCCGCGAUAAACAUCUGUUUAAGUACCGGAAGAGGUUAUCUUUGCUUUCUGAAUGUCCAUAUUGCUAGAUAUGCUGAGUUUUAGGGCGAAAUCCUGGGGAAUUUUGUCUAGAAAUGCAAUUACCUAACCGUGCGCGAUCCCGCGGUGGCUAAUCAUUUUUUGGCAGCGAGUCAAUUUAUGGCACAACACCGGCUCGGGUUUCUCCUCCUCCUCCCUCUUUUCUUCUCCAACCUGUCGCUGGGCUGAGGCUCCAUCACUUCCUAAAUUGAUUUUACUUGAACCUUCACUACCAAACAACUGUGAGAUUUUAACACAUGUGCCAGCAUCAGCCAGCCUGAAGGGCCAGUUUCUUUUUUAGUCGAAUUUUCUCCGCUCCUCCUUUCCGUUUUUUGUUCUCCAUUUUGUAAAGCUCGUCUGUCUGUUUACUGAGAUUCACAAACAACUGGCGGGUGCAUCAGACCUCUGGCUAUUGGUCCAGCCCAGAGUGUAUUAUUACCAAUUGGCCAAUCCACCAACUUUUACGAGGCGUCGCGUGGGGCGGCGCGGACAAGUUGUCCGCAACAACUAGAGGCCAGGAAAAAAAAAAAAAAACA